rnacentral:rRNA from 1 species
UACGAAGGGGCCUAGCGUUGUUCGGAAUCACUGGGCGUAAAGCGCACGUAGGCGGAUUCGUAAGUCAGGGGUGAAAUCCCGGGGCUCAACCUCGGAACUGCCUUUGAUACUGCGGGUCUUGAGUCCGAUAGAGGUGGGUGGAAUUCCUAGUGUAGAGGUGAAAUUCGUAGAUAUUAGGAAGAACACCGGUGGCGAAGGCGGCCCACUGGAUCGGUACUGACGCUGAGGCGCGAAAGCGUGGGGAGCGAACAGG